GACAGAGGCCCCAAGCGUUAGGCGGAAUCACUGGGCUUAAAGCGUGUGUAGGCGGACGCCUAAGUGUCUUGUGAAAUCCCACGGCUCACCCGUGGAACUGCUGGGCAUACUGGGCGUCUUGGGCCAACUAGGGGCAGCCGGAACAAGCGGUGGAGCGGUGAAAUGCGUAGAUAUCGCUUGGAACGCCGAAGGUGAAAACAGGCUGCUGGGGUUGU
rnacentral:rRNA from 1 species